CAGACCUCAUUUAAGGGUCGGUGGUGGAAGGAAGGGUGUUUUGGUGGAGUUUCCUGCAUACUUGCAGUCUUCUGAGUGAUCCAAUGCAGAAAAUAUUUUUUGGAAAAAUUUCUUGCUAGAACCAUGGGAAAAACAUGCAGUGGGAAGAAAACAACUAAGGACAAAAUAGAUUUAUCAUAUCAAAGGCUUCCUUUCCCUCUCAAAAUAGAUUAAAAGCAGGUAUUAUUUUUAUCAUAAAGAACGUAGGAUCAGAGAAACUUUUGUGGACUAUGGAGUCCAGCUUCUUCCUGCAACUUAACAGGGUGAAAUAAUUCUACCAUUUGUCCAGUGCUGUAGAAAGGGAUCAUCAAAGAGAACUGCAAAAAUUUCAAGAAGGAAUCUGGACCCCUGCUCAUUGAGAAAGGAACUGGAUUUUCCCUUUCAGUGGCAUCUAUAAAUGAAGCCAUUUAGCAUUCCCAGUAAUGAUUCUGGUGAAAUCUGAUUUCUGCUUACUAAAGAAGGAAUAUCAAGUUAAAGUUUCUGUAAGGCAUGAGUGUGAAGUUUCACCAUUCACCUGGAAAUAUAGAAGGCCUUGGUAUUUCCCGCUAGGCUCUGGCUCUCCCAUCAUUGUUUGUCUUACUCUGCCAUGGAUACUACAAAGCCUUGACCACAGAUCAGAGCUGUAUCUCUUGAAGCCAGAGCACCUGAAAAGAAAACUGAUGCCUUUUUUAAACGAUAAUAUUCAAAGAGAUACAGUGAUUUGUUCUACAUUUUUGAAAACAAUGUCUCUUGGAUGAGAUUUUUGUUAAUGUCCUGAAAUGUGAAGAGGUGGUCAAUGUUUACCAUGCCUGCUAUUUCAGGGACAUGCCUAUUAAGGUGAAGGCAUCUGUUUUCUUGGGCAUCAGAUAGAUUAAUCACAAAGGCCAGAAGCUUGUGGGUUUCCUUAGUGCCAAAGAAUGCAUUUUCCUUCUAAUUUUUUUUAAACCACAGUGAAUCAGGGGCUUCAAAUGAAGCGAAAGAUUACAGAUUCCGAGGGGAAGACUGUCUUGAUGUAUCACAAGGGUGGCUAUAACUGUUAAUCCUAAAAGAGAGCCUUUCAAGCUAAUGGUUUGAUAACUGUGGUCUUAGAUGGAAAGGGUGAGGCUGAAUUGAGGAGUGAAAGAAAUUAUCCAAACCUACCAAAUUAUAUAGAGACUAAGAAGUACCAUGUAUGCAGAAGUGUGUGCACAGAGAUGGAUGCUCCCAUGUUUUCCUUCAGUCAGAAGAUAUAUUGCUGUGUCAUUUCAGAACAAGAUGGCUGCUCAUUUUGUUCUCUGAGCUGUGAAUCUUAUGGAAAGGUGGAAAACUGCCUGCUGGAUCUCAGCUACGCUUUUCUGAGUAAAUAAUAUGAAAAGCUUGCAUUGUUUGAAGUUCAGGGAAAAGCGGGAAAGUCUGCAAGAAGUUUGUUCUGUGUGUCAAACAAAUUGUUCUGUAUGAAAGAACUGGCAGUGAACAUUGUGCCUUGAGCCCUCUCAUGACUUGUGUAGGAAAGAAAUGACUGGUUUUACAGUUUUGUUGAAUGCAAAUGUUCAACUGUAUCUAUACCUCUCCUGCACACCUAAAAAGAUUUUUUUUUUUUAAAGGCAAGUGUGUAAGUUGCUUACCUUGGCUUUCUCUUCCUCUGUUUUUUUUUUAAUCAGGUUAGCCCGUCCCUUCCUAACUACCCUUCUGGGAAUUUUUCCAAGAAAUGUAUGAAAUGUGUUCUCUGGGCUAAAAAAGAUGCAUUCAACUGUACUUUUACUAUUUUAGAUUACACAGGAAGAUUAUGGAGGACAUUGUCAUAUAUCAGAUCAGAAUAAAUUUUAAUAGGCUGCUGUGUAAGUACACACAGGCUGGAUCUUGAUGUGGUUUCCCACAGUAGUUGCUUUAGGCUUUCAUCUAGUACAGUUUUCAUGGAGUGCUAUAAUGACAGGUUCCACAAAACCCUCCUUAUUCAUUUUCAGCUCUGUAAUACCAAAACAGAAAAAAAUCUGUAGAGAACAACUAGGUGCUAAAAAUGCACUCUGAAACAAGCACUUUUGUAGCUAAAUUCUCUCUUCACACACUGAGGGCAGGUCACUAUUAGCUCUGCUGUAAAACUGCAAGUAUAGACAAAUGUAAGGGAUGCAAGAGAAUGGAGACUGUUCCAGGCACACGAGGCAAGGUGAAUGUGAAUGGCAGCAAGAAAUGAAGUAAUUUUACAAUCCGGGUCAAUUGAACAGGAACAAAGGUACUAGACACAAAGGCUCAGGAUCACAUGGAGCUACCCCCACAGCAGGUAGCCAGCUGUUCGUAUGCAGCUUUGAAAACAUGUUCUGGCUUAAGUCAUGUAACAACUCUACCGAACUAUGGACUAAAAGCAACGUGAGCUGAAAUUAAGUUUAAAGGGUUGCUAUGAAAAUACUAUUCCUAAACCAAAGCAUUUUGACAAAACAGUAACGGUGCUCUUAAAAAAAAAAAAAAAAAAAAAAAAAAAAAAAAAACAACAACAAAAACUUAAGCAGUUUGUUUAAAUAGUUCAGUUAGAAGGAACUUAUUCCAUCUCUCUCUGGACUGUAUUUUGGGUUAACUAGAGAUUUAUGAGAUUGUACCUAUCAUAAACAAGAAAUAGCUUUAUUUCCUGUCACGACCCUCCUUGUGAUCAUCGCAGGUUUCUUUUUGUACAAAGGGCUAAAUGACAGCAUUAUCCCACUACCCUCCAAAAAACCUGGUUGAUUGAAAGAUGGGUAAAGUAGUCCUUUGGCAGUAAACAACCUUGUUGCAGUAACAAGACUGUGCUCUUCCAUCUGUUCCAUUGACCAGCUACUACAGAGGGAAUUUAAAGGUACCUUACUUCUGUGUAGUCAAUAUAGUUAUUUAGACAAAUUAUUGAGGUCAGAGUAUCUUGCCUUAGAACCUAACCAACUAAAGCCUCUUGCUGCUACCCCUCUGAUUUAUUAGAUUGAAUUUAGGUAGCACUGUGUUGACUCACUGUGGGAUGAGUACAUAGCUUGUGUUUAGAUGUGUGAAGCUAAAUGAAAUGUAACAAUUUUUUCCUAUGCAAAACAGCCAUGAUGUUUAUUAAUUACCCUAAUUUGUCAGUGAAUAUGAUAACACUGGAAAUGUUGCAAAUGAUGUUUAUGAGAUGCUGACACUUUUCUCUAAAAUUUACCUGGGAAGAACAAUUUUAGUUGAGAAAGAAGAGGAAACUGUACACAAAUAACUAUAAUUCAAGUAAUUUUAUCUUGAUCGUCUGUUUCAAUUUUCAGACUAGCAGAAAAUUGAAAUGGGAGACUUUGUACGAAAGGAUAACUGACUAUGAAUUCAGUGAUGAGUUUGCUAGAAGUGCCUCACUCUACAAAUUCAAAGCUUUCUUUGUUUUCUACUUGUAACUUCUUCCGUUAUGCUUCUUUGUCCUUCCUAUCCAAAUGGUCUUUUUUUUUUUUUUUCAAGUUACUGUGACCUCUGUUUUUCAUUCUAUCAUAGCAUCUUGAAAGAUGAUUCUGCAACCCAAUUUUCUUGUGAACAAAGGCAUACUGUUGAAAUGUUCUUUCGUCUUGCAUGGUUCUUUUUUUAAUCAUUUCAAUCCAAGUCUGAGUAAUACUGUAAAUAUGAAAAAAUAUUUAUCAUAAUAAUCUCCUAAAAUUUUCCUAGUAACUACUGAGCAUUCUGCUGAAACUUACUUGAGUCAUUUGUAAAUUAACACGUGAAUAUAUUUUAAUCACUGUGGAUUUUAGAGCCACGCGCAAAUACAACCUUUAUAAGGAUUUAGAGAUACCAAACAAAAUGCAAUCACAUCAUUCAUGACCAAAUGAAACACAGUGUAAUAAAUGAGUAAAUGCUGAAACCAGGUCAGCCUGCUCCUUGGACUCUUACCAGAUUGUGCUGUUUGCACGCAGUCCACUGAGCUUGAUAUAUGUUAAGAUUCUGUAGUAUAAAGAGACUGCAGGUGCUUGUAUUUGUAUUUGAAGGCAAGGAACUGAAAUUGUUCCACUUUUGAAGUUCUGAGUGGUAGAAAGAGCAAAAGAUGAACAUGAAGACAUUUCACUGUAGUUGCUGCCUGAAUAUUCAUGAGGAGGACAUGAGGAGGACAGUCCCAUUCUGACUGUAGCCAGUGAAUAAUUCUGUAGCGCAUCUCUAACUAUGUGACAUUAUAGAGAAGGUCUGAUAGGAUAAAAAGUGGCAGGAAAGUAUUAUGACAAAGAAAUAAUAAGAACAACAAAUGCUUGCAGUACUUAUGGAGUAAUGAUUUGUUCUUACUGAGAUAUUUCGCAGUCAGUUUCAGGAGAACUUUCUAACCAGAUACACACCUCUGUUUCUUUGCCUCCUUCCCUGUCUCUCCCUUCUUUGCAUGGCAAUAAAAGGAACUCUUUCUGUUCUUUUCCCACCUCAGUAUGCGCUGUUCUGAAGGUUUCCAAUGCAUUGUUCACUGUGC